rnacentral:lncRNA from 1 species
UUCAUUAGUGAUGUUUUCAAUUUAGGAGUUUUGAAACAUUUUGCGGUAAUGUUAUUUAAACAAAAUCACGUUUUAAUUAAUAGUUUAAUAGUUGAUUUCGUCAAAAUAUAUGAAAUAUAAGUAACAACAAAGUAGGAUGUAGGAUCUGGUCAAAAAGAAAUGAGGGAUUUGGGAAAAUAAUCACGACGUACGUGUAACCCUGACACACAGACCUGCACAAUGUAUUGGCCGGACAAAUAGUCCUGGUACAAUUCGUCUUGUUAGCCGAACAAAUAGCAACUACCUAUUUUAUAUACUAAAACAGAGGAGAUAAAAAGAAAUUGUGUUACAUGUCACGAAAAUAAAUUAGUCGUAAUAUUCUACUGCACAGUCAUUAGAUUUAGUAAGAGAGAUCUUAACCAAGAAGUGUCAAACUUAUUGCGGUAAUCAAUAUGGCGUGAAUUAAGAAUAUUAUGUUAAAAAAGUAGAUCAUAAGUACAAAAUGUAUAUAUUUUUUUAGAUAGAACUUUCUAAUACUUUGCCAAAACGAGGAUUUUACUAUGUUUUUUUUUCAAAAAUAUAAUAAA